UUCCUGGAGGCAGGCACCCUCUAUAGCUGGUCACCCGUAACAUCAUGCCGUGUUCUCCUUCAAGUGGCCGCUCAGUGUAGCCUCGACCUUCCUAGGCUAGUUUGUUAUGAUGCUGUUCAUGACAUCUCUGCCUCAGCCUUUUGUCAUCGCAGAAAUGUGUUGCUUUCUUCCAAACAAACAUGGCUACUUUUGUACUUUUUUUAUUUUCUGCAUUUCAAUAUAAUAAUGAUACUUUAUUCCCCCAUGGGGAUAUUUUCUUUUCGUCUUCCCCAUCUUGCUUUCCGUUAGCCCUUUCACACCAGGGCUGGAGCUUAUGCCGAGUAAUUCCGGCCCUGACGUUGCAUUCGCAUCCAAAAUAAUAGCGGUGGGGGGCCGAUAUAUCCGGGUGGGAGCGUUUUUUUUUUUUUUUUUCCUGGCCUUGAAACGCUGGGCCAGAGUUAGGAGUUGGGAGCGUGUGACGUCGGAAGGCGGAUUGGCGGCGUCAGAAUGGAAAGCGAAAGUUUAGGAAGCAAUGCGGCGUGAACUGGAGAAGAUGUGGGUUAUCAGAAUGGAUAAUGGAGCAAGUCAUGAAGAAGAUUUUAAAAAAUGUAAAAAGAAUACAGGAAGUUGAAAAGAGAGCUAAAUGAAAAUGGUGCUGGCUGCUCUAAAAACAAAUAUCAUGGACUCCGUGUUUGGAAAUCAUCUCCGCAACGGCUUUGGAGGAAUUGGGUGAAGAGAAUGCAAAUGGACAGGAGCAUCACUUUUUAUAUUUAUUCCACAUGAAAGAUUUACAUAUUUCUUGAUUAUUUGUAUGUUUGUAAAAUAAAAGUUUAACAAAAGGUUUUGUUCUUUUCUUCACUCUCACUAUUAAAGUUGUCCUUUUAAUGCAUGUUGCGCAGCAGUUCUUUCAGCGUCAUUUCUUGUCAUAGCUAAAAAAUAAUGUAAGCAUUUGCAGUAUAUUUAAAAAAAAGUCUUGCAUUCAUCGCAUCUGGCAUGCUCCUCCAUUUUUGUCUUCACUUCCGCAACGGUACCCCCUCCCACAGCAUCACACAUAUGCUGACGUCUUUGUUCUACCCUUUAGGCACCAAGUGCUGUGCGAAUGCGAGCCGGUUUUUGGUCGGGCCGAUGUGAGCUCCAGCUUCCGCUGAGCACCAGCUCUGGCAAGGGCUUGG